AGCGUGUACACAUUGCAGUCUGCUGUACGGGAAAUGACUUAUUUAUUCUAGGUUCAUUCACAGCUUCUGUUUAUGGCAUAAUACCUUCUGAGAGUAGGCCAUUAUGACAACAAUGCCUCUGUUUCCUCCAGAUUCUUGGCUGUCACUAUCCUGACCUACCACCUGUGUCACAUCCCAUUAGGUUCUGUGGAUGAGGCAUGGUGCUUGGCACAGACUGACAUAUGUUGGGGCAAACUUGGCAGAGCAGCCUGAGCCAAAGCAAAAAAACAGACCUGAACCAAGAUACAACCUCUGUGGAAAACCCUACUGAACAAAAGCAACUCUGUGGAGUGUCCUUUCAGCUGCAAAUUGAGACAGAAUUGUGGGGCAAGCUUGGCCACUGAUGCAGUUUUGUCAUUUCAAGAACAUUGUAAAUAUGGACUCACACAGAUUCUGUAGCUCGCUACACAGAAAGCCAGAGACUGAGAGCCAAUGACUGAGACUGUGAGUAUUGCCAAGGAAGAAGGCUUUAAUCGGGUGCUGAUGAUUAGCUCAGGAGGUAAGAGCUCAGUCUCAAAUCCAUCUCCCUGACCAACUAAAGCUAAGGGUUUAUAUAGCAGGGAAGAAAACAGGAACUAGGAAGGGGCAAGGAAGCGAUCGUGAUGAAUGAGGGGUCAGGCAUCUCAUUGUCUGGAUGUGGCGAUCUGCUCACAGUGGCCACACCUGGGACUUCCAAUGUGAAUGCUUUUGUCACGGAUGCUGCUGCUGUUUCUGGUUCUUACUCUGCUUACACCAAGGAGACUGAUGUCCCUGCCAUAACCCCACUUCCCAUGCAGACAGCAUUUCCAAUGCAUUGCAGCUUUCAGGAAUUUCUCACCGUGUUUUUGCCUCUCCUUUUCUUUAAGACAUGAGCACUUGUCUUCGGGGACGGCCUGAAGUGCAGUCUCCACUACCCAGAGUCAUCUCACUCUCUAACCUUGACUCAUGAUCUGAGAACAAGUGCUCCCCUGCUUGGCUUCCUGAGGGGCAUCUGUACCUCUUGCAAACAUUUCCUUUGGGCUCUGUCAUUUAGAAAUGCCCUUGUUUAUCUGAAUUAUAGUUCCAGUUCAGAACAUUUACAAAGGAACAGAUUGUUCCCAAUUUAAAAGCAGGUAAAUUCUAAAAGUUAGCAAGCCAGCCAUUUAGAAUUUGAGCGUCAUAUUCCACAGGUAUGAAAUUAUACGCAAUGAAAAAGUUCCCAGUGCAGCCCACAAGAAGCCUACUUAUCCAAAAUAAAGCUAACCCGAGGUAAUACA